rnacentral:rRNA from 1 species
GAUGAACGCUAGCUACAGGCUUAACACAUGCAAGUCGAGGGGAAACGACAUCGAAAGCUUGCUUUUGAUGGGCGUCGACCGGCGCACGGGUGAGUAACGCGUAUCCAACCUGCCCACCACUUGGGGAUAACCUUGCGAAAGUAAGACUAAUGCCCAAUGAUAUUGAGUGCGGACAUCUAAUCUCAAUUAAAGAUUUAUCGGUGAUGGAUGGGGAUGCGUCCGAUUAGCUUGUUGGCGGGGUAACGGCCCACCAAGGCAACGAUCAGUAGGGGUUCUGAGAGGAAGGUCCCCCACAUUGGAACUGAGACACGGUCCAAACUCCUACGGGAGGCAGCAGUGAGGAAUAUUGGUCAAUGGGCGGAAGCCUGAACCAGCCAAGUAGCGUGAGGGAUGACUGCCCUAUGGGUUGUAAACCUCUUUUAUAAGGGAAUAAAAUACGGGACGUGUCCUGUUUUGCAUGUACCUUAUGAAUAAGGACCGGCUAAUUCCGUG